GAAGAACCGGGGGGUUAUGCACUUACAUAACUGGGAGGUGGGACUGAGGGUCUCUGACUGGGCGGUGCUGACCACACCUGGGAGGUUGUGGUC